GGCUCUGUGGCGCAAUGGAUAGCGCAUUGGGACUUCUAAUUCAAAGGUUGUGGGUUCGAGUCCCACCAGAGUCA